CAGUCGCCGCGGUAAUACGAAGGGUGCAAGCGUUAAUCGGAAUUACUGGGCGUAAAGCGUGCGUAGGCGGUGAGUUAAGUCUGCUGUGAAAUCCCCGGGCUCAACCUGGGAAUGGCAGUGGAUACUGGCUCGCUAGAGUGUGUCAGAGGAUGGUGGAAUUCCCGGUGUAGCGGUGAAAUGCGUAGAGAUCGGGAGGAACAUCAGCGGCGAAGGCGGCCAUCUGGGACAACACUGACGCUGAGGCACGAAAGCGUGGGGAGCAAACAGGAUUAGAUACCCCGGUAGUCCCUGUCUCUUAUAC
rnacentral:rRNA from 1 species